rnacentral:rRNA from 1 species
CGCGGCCUAUCAGCUUGUUGGUGAGGUAACGGCUCACCAAGGCAUCGACGGGUAGCUGGUCUGAGAGGACGAUCAGCCACACUGGGACUGAGACACGGCCCAGACUCCUACGGGAGGCAGCAGUAGGGAAUCUUGCGCAAUGGGCGAAAGCCUGACGCAGCAACGCCGCGUGGGGGAUGAAUGCCUUCGGGUUGUAAACCCCUUUCAGCAGGGACGAAAAUGACGGUACCUGCAGAAGAAGCUCCGGCCAACUACGUGCCGGCAGCCGCGGUAAUACGUAGGAAGCGAGCGUUGUCCGGAAUUAUUGGGCGUAAAGAGCUCGUAGGCGGUUCAGUAAGUCGGGUGUGAAAACUCAAGGCUCAACCUUGAGACGCCACUCGAUACCGCUGUGACUUGAGUCCGGUAGAGGAGUGUGGAAUUCCUGGUGUAGCGGUGAAAUGCGCAGAUAUCAGGAGGAACACCAGCGGCGAAGGCGGCACUCUGGGCCGGUACUGACGCUGAGGAGCGAAAGCAUGGGGAGCAAACAGGAUUAGAUACCCUGGUAGUCCAUGCCGUAAACGUUGGGCACUAGGUAUGGGAUCAUAUCAACGGAUUCCGUGCCGUAGCUAACGCAUUAAGUGCCCCGCCUGGGGAGUACGG